ACUAAUCCCUAAAAAUAAGUCAUUACCACAAAGUUGUCCAAUUUUUUAUGUUUAUUUUCUUCUAAUAUAAGAUGUUUGCUGUAUCAUUUCAGGGAUUGUACAAUCAGAUAAACAAAACAUGUAAAUGUAGAAAUUUUUUAGUUUUACUAGCAUCUUAGAAGUCUAUCAUGAUGUCUGAAUGGGCCACUUAUGUUUUAGCGUUUCUACUCGGAUAGUCGGAUGUGAAUGGGCCGCUUUUGUUUUGAUGUACUGCAAUUUAAUACUUACAUAGGUUUCUUCCAUUGGUUUAUGAGCCUUUUUAUGGAUCGUAUAUCAUUUGGUCAAAUGGGUGAAAUAAAAAGCUUUCAAAUAAUCGGGCUUGAUUGAGUUAGCCUUGCAUACAUUAUGAUUGUACUACAAAAGGUGUAAAAAGGUUGGAGAGUCCGGGUCUGUCUGCAAUUUUAACCUUAUCCGACCCGUCUGACCUGCCAUUUAAUGUAACUAUCUCUAAUAGAUUAAUAUCCAAUUGAUGUGACCAUUAACAGUCACUAACCUGAACAUUUGGGUCAAAUGGUUGCUAUCCUGUGCAAUAACUCGAGUUUCUCAUGCUACCAGUACAACUUUAGUAGCUACAGUACUAUUUAAGAGGGGAACUCAUUAGAGGGUCUUGGGUUUAUUGUAUCUAUGACAAGUGGUGCUGAAUGCAGUGGACGCUAAUAAUAUUGAGAUGUACUAGCAGUGUUUUCUCAAAGUUUUUAGGACCUCAAUAGAUGUUUUGGGGCAGCGUUGAAUGGUCCUCUAAAAAUUGCACUAGAUACUUGGUGGAUGCGGAAUAUAUUCUUGAAGGGUUUUUUUUUUCUUCCUUUUUUCUUGAAUUUGAAGUAUGUUUGGCUAUAUCGAUUAGUUAAACCUUGAAGUUACUACUUCCCAUAUGGUUGGUUUUCCAGGAAGGGCAUUAGAAGGAUUACGACUUCUGAUAACCGAUAAGUAUGAUGGCUUUGGAAAUGUUCAAGAUUGAGAUAGCUUGAAGUGUUUUAAGUCCAUAUCCUGUUCCACUUUUGGAAAUGGCUCGAGUGUUUUGUAUAAUCAUAAAUUUUUCUAAUGUUCCCAUGCUUCGAGAACAAAACUCGAUAGACAGGAAAAAAAAAAGAGAGAGAUUGUACAUUAGACAACUAUGCAGCCAUGUCAAGACCCAUUAACUGGAGUGGCAAUGAUCCUCUACUGAGCCAUGGUCAAGAACAUAAGGCUAGGUUAAUCACGCUCUGGUUACAAGGUCCUGUUCAAGCAGCUCCAGUCGAUGGAGGAGAUACUUGGCAUGAUCAUGAGGCAGCUCCAGUCGAUGGAGGAGAUACUUGGCACGAUCUUGCAAUGGGAACAACGCUGUAGAGAAGAGAGAGAGAUCAUAGAGCAGUCCGAUUAAACUUCUACUGUUUUACAAAUCUAACAAUGAAUAUUCCUGUCCGUUUUCAGCUGUAAUGAAAAGAUGUUUACCCUUGAACAUGGUAACAAGUUUUAACCAAGUAUGUUUUGCAACACGAUUCCAUGGAUUGUAUCAUUGUCAGUUUUGAUGUAAGUUUAUUAUGGAAGACCCUCUUUCCACCC